UACGGGGGGGGCAAGCGUUGUUCGGAAUUACUGGGCGUAAAGGGCGCGUAGGCGGUUCGAUAAGUCAGCUGUGAAACCCAUGGGCUUAACUCAUGGCCUGCAGUUGAGACUGUCGGGCUGGAGUGUGGGAGAGGAGAGUGGAAUUCCUGGUGUAGCGGUGAAAUGCGUAGAUAUCAGGAGGAACACCGGUGGCGAAGGCAGGUCUCUGGGCAUUAACUGACGCUGAGGAGCGAAAGCGUGGGGAGCGAACAGG
rnacentral:rRNA from 1 species